CUCUUCCUCAUCACUCCUGCUUCACUGCAGACUCACACAGCAUCUCUGGACCUCCUGAUCUGAACAACAGAGAAAAUGGUUUUUGCUGUACCACUGAGGAUCCUUGUGAUCUGCCUGCUUCACUUUUGUACCUGUGCUGUAGGUGCGGAUGUGAACCCAAAAACUCUCAUGGAUAUUGUAAAGAACUUUGAGAAUCAGUUGGGUAACGUAGGAUAAUACGCUGUCGCGUUCAGAGUCGAGAAGAACAAAUGUCUUCAAGGUUCUGACUAUCCAAGUCAGAACUUACUAACUGAAGUGAAACAAAAACUUCAGAAAAAUGAGGUUUAUGUGAGCAGUAACCUCAUCGCUGCAAAGGCUGAUAAAGAUAAACAAGAUCAUUCAGAGUUUCGGCUGAAGAAUUAUCUGAAGAACAUCUUGAAUGGAAAAGAUGAAUGUGUGGUUUAUUUCACUGUAAAUUCACCCUGUUUGAAUAAAUGUGUAUCAGAUUCCUGUGAAUUCAGCAUUAAAGACAAUCUUGAAAUGUUACAAAAAUAUGAGGGAAUUAAAGCCUUUGCAUUCAAAAUAGUCUGGAGAGAGGAUAAAAAGGAGGA